rnacentral:rRNA from 1 species
UACGUAGGGUGCGGGCGUUAAUCGGAAUUACUGGGCGUAAAGCGUGCGCAGGCGGUUCGCAAAGUCUGAUGUGAAAGCCCCGGGCUCAACCUGGGAACUGCAUUGGAAACUAACGGGCUCGAGUGUGGCAGAGGGGGGUGGAAUUCCACGUGUAGCAGUGAAAUGCGUAGAGAUGUGGAGGAACACCGAUGGCGAAGGCAGCCCCCUGGGCUAACACUGACGCUCAGGCACGAAAGCGUGGGGAGCAAACAGG